GUCCCUUUCCUGCGUUGCAAGUAAGGGAGCACAGUCCAUGUUCCGUCCAUCCUGGCCAGCUUUCUUGGGCCUUGAGGGAACAGCUCACAGUGAAUCCGGAUUCUGUUGUCCUUUGCUGCCUGUUGACUUACAGGAUCACUGUGACCUGACCAAGGACAAAGAAGAUCCCAACUUCCUUGGACCCUAGCUGGCGCCCAGAUGCCUGCAAUCAUCAUCAUCUCUUGAUCCAAACCACCUUUUCUUCCUCAUAUUCGCCUCCCAUAAAAACCCUCUUGCCAGGCAGGAAAAUAUAAGACGGUACUUUAGAAGUUAAGUUCUAAGCUAGUUCACCAUUUUCUCCGUUUUGCUGGCUUUAUGAAUAAGCCUGCUUUUUCUGCCACUAAUUCUUCUCUCUCAUGUUUGGCUUUUGAUCAGCCAAAGCUGGGUUCAGUUACAAAGAGCUUGCCCUGUUUCUUUGCCCUUAUCCCCAAACAUGGACACCUGACUCUCCAGGUAGAACUAAUUUGAGUCCAUUGGGCUCAUAAUCAUUGUGGUAGAUUGCAUAAUUGACUUCAAUUCCAAGCCAGCCAGGAACUUUCCCAUCAAGUCAGCCCCUUCCUGUGUCCACAGCCAUUUCAGUGAACCUUGCAAUUCUUCCCACUAACAAAGCAGAAUAUAUUUCUUCACACCUUAACUUUGGGUUCAGCCAUAUGACUUGGUUUGGGCAACUGAAGGAAGUGGAAAUGACAAAGUACCAUGAUGAGCUUAGGCCUUAAGAUGCCUUGAAUUUGCUUCAUGCCCUCUUGCACAUCUGCUCUCACCAUAAGAAGAACUUCUGCGAACAUUCUGUCCCCUCAGCCUAAGCACAAGAAUGAGCACAUUGGAAGCCAACCUGAGCCCAAAUCAUUGUGAGCAGCCAAGACUACCUGGAUACAUAACUUGAAAGGGUGCUGCCCAGAUAGCUCAGCCUCAAUCAGUCAGCCCUCAGACACGUGAGUCAUAUAAAUAGUUUUUAUUUUAAGCCACUGAAUUUUGGGGUAGGGCUUAAGGUACCAAAAGCUAAUUGAGGCCAGGUGCGGUGGCUCAUGCGUGUAAUCCUAGCACUUUGGGAGGCCAAGGUGGGAGGAUUAUUUGAGCCUAGGAGUUUCAGACCAGCCUUGGCAACACAGCAAAACCCUACCUCUACCAAAAACAAAACAAAAAAUUUCUAAAGCUAACUGAUAAAAUCAUUUAUCUAGUUCAGUGAAUAAGUGUGGUAGAAGUUAAAACAGAAAAAAAUGCUAUUAUUUCUAAAAUAAUUUCCCCUUGGACUGCAUUUGCUAAAUUAGCAAGUGAUUAAAUUAAUCCUAGUUUGUAUUAUUUGCUGAAAUGUGUGUGUUUCCUGGCAUAGCCUAAGAAGAAAAUGUAUCUACACUCUCAUUUUGUAGAACUCUGAGAGGACCAUCCAGUCAUUGCUGACAAAGCCCAGUCCUACAUAUCAUCAUAGUACAUGAGGGGCAUGUACAGUUAAUGUGAAAAAUAAGCUCAAUUGUCCUGAUAUGUUGCAGUCCAAAACUUCAUUUAUGAGUCAUUUAUUUAGAACUCAGAACACUCUUGCCCAUAGAAACAAUAUUAUAAUGUUUCCAGGCAAACAACAAAAACCCAUUUAACCCCAAAAUAUAACUGACUGAUAUCAGUAGUCAGUUGGGAGACGACUUCUUCCUCAUUGCUUGGAUUUCCUUCUCCCUUUAUGCUUUCUCUUCCUUGUUUGCCCUUUUCAGAGGAAGAGGAGGGCUAGUUGAUUAAAUUUUAUUGGGCCUCCUUUCCUAAGUGGGCAGAAUUGCUGUAUUGAAAGGCUGUGAGGACCUGCCACUAUCUUUCAGGUCUGUGUCCUCCCACACAACGUUUGUCUUCAUGGACUUGGAGUCUGCUCUGCACUUUCUCUCUCUCUGUCUCUCUCUGUCUCUUUCUCUCUCUCUUCCACCCUCCCUCCCUCUCCUUCCUUCCCAGACAUACCUGAGCCUAUGGUUCCCAUGAUUCAUAUUUGCAAAGAAAAUUCUACUGUAGUCUCAGGCCUAAGACGAAUUCUCCAUCUCAAAAUACUGAAAAUCCUUUAUUCAGGGAGUUGUGCAGAUUUUUAAUAAAUCAAUGCUUAAUGUCUCUCAUUUGGCUGGUGAUCUUUUGCUGGAUGCAGCAUCAGUUUGAAUGCUGGAGGGAUCAGGGGUAACCAGCAUUUAGAAUUCCUAAGACUCUUCUUGGGAGGCUGAGGCAAGAGGACUCCUUGAGCCCGGGAUUGCAAGACCAGCCUGAGUAACAUGGCAAGACCCCAUCUCAGAAAAGAAAAAAAAAUUCCUAAGACUCAUUCCUCUUCUGUUCAUGAUUUCUUUGGGAAAAAUUUUUCCUAUGUUCCAACUGUGGAAGACUGGAUACACCUUGAAUGCAACCUUCUUUCAUGUCUUCAAGGUAAGACUCUCAUUUCGCAAUGACUUAUCUUUUGGAAGAAUCUCUAGUUCUUUCAUGGAAAAGUAAUGGUCAUGUUUUGUUAGAAGAAAAGUUGAUUUUGAAGAAACUAAGGCAGUAGAAACCAUGUGCAUGUUCCAUUUCUUUGAAAAUUCCAUAAACGUGCAUUAACUUAUUCAGUUCAGAGCUCAGAGAUUAAACUUUUCUCUAACAUUGGGAUAUAAAUUUAUUCUGAUAUAAACUCUCAACAUUACCUUUCUGAGAUAAUUCUGAGGUUGUUCAGUAACAUCAAUUUUACUAACUUUUUUCCUCAGUUAAAACUUUAUAACUGUAUUCAUUUUGUCUCUCUCUCUCUCUCUUUUUUUUUUUUUUUUUUUUUUCAGAGAGAGAGAGAUGGGGCCUUGCUAUGUUGUCCAAGCUGUCCUCGAACUCAUGGGCUCAAGCAAUCCUCAUGUGGCUUAUCUCACAGUUUUAAAAACCAAAGUAUUCAAUAUAGACAUGUAGUCUCCCUGUUUAUCACUAGAAUUUUCUUUUUCAAUUCUGAAAGCAAUUUCCCUCCACAGUCUAUGUCUCACAUCCUAAAAGAGAUCAUGUAAAUUAUCAUUUGUUUCCCCACAAAUUUUAUAGUCAGCAAAAUACAUCAUUGAAACCAUGUAUCUUAACUAUAAAAAUUUAAUAAAAUUUUUUAAACUUUGAGAUUUUCCAGCCUUCCUUUAAUAUAACUGGUACUUAAAAAUGAAUAUAGAUCUAUAUAUCACAUCUUACAUAUAGUUCAAAUACUUUUUAAGACUUCACCUUCAGAUAAUAGUGGCUUGAACCAUGGGCUUACAAAUUGAGACCACCACGUGAAUCAAUUCUGUGUAUCUACUACCAAAACCACUUUUAAUAUUCUCUCAGAAAUGCAUGCUCUUACACGUUGUUGAGUGGCUCAGGGCUAACUGCCACUCACUCUGGGCCAAUGGAAGCCUCCACCCCUAGCCAGGCCAGUUGCACAGGUGCUGGCUCUUCUUAGAGGUAGGUAGAGAUGGGAGGCUCUGGUGCAGUAGAAGGCCGACUUCUCCUGUGUGGAAGAAGUUCCCCUGCUCUGCUGUGGGAGAGCAUAAGUGUUCUGAGAGAAGCAGGGGCAAGAGAGGAAAGGGGAAAACACUAGGAGAAUUUGAUCUUAGCUCCACGUACCCAAAGGCCAGAUACAUCACUGCCCCUGCCACAGUUACAUUCUCUUUAAAACACAUCAAGACACUCCUUUCCCUUCCUUCCUUCCUUCCUUCCUUCCUUCCUUUCUUUCUUUCUUUUCUCUCUUUCUCUCUUUUUUUUCUUUCCUUUUUUUUUUUUGUUUACAAGGUCCUGCUCUUUUGCCCAGGCUGGAGUACAGCGGGGCAAUCAUGGCUUACUGAAGCCUUGACCUCUCUGGCUCAAGUGAUCCUCCCACAUCAGCCUCCCGAGUAGCUGGGACCACAGGCACAGGCCACCAUACCUGGCUAAUUUUUCUAUUUUUAGUAGAGACAGCAUUUCACCAUAUUGCCCAAGCUGUCUUGAACUCCUGGGCUCAAGUGAUCCACCUGCCUCAGCAAGAUACCCCUUUCUUUGAAUUACAGAAAUGGGGAUGUGUCUGACCCUGAUCACUACUUUUGGCCACUUCAUGAGCUCUCCUAUGAGAGAGCUACCAGCUGUUAGGAGGCCAGGAAGGAGGGUCCCAGGUACAGGCCAAAAUCCCCUAGAGUCCCUGGACACCAGCAUACACACUUUCGAGAUGCCCACCCUCUUAAGCUUUGGAGGAGAUGGGGAUAACACCCUGGCCCUAGCACUGCUCAACUUUCACCUGACAUAUAUGGUAUAUUUCUUUUAGAAAUCAUAGCAAAAGUCAUAACAGUAGUAGUAAUUUAUAAAUCAUAGUAAAAUUUUUUUAAAUGUCUUCUAAAAUUUGGGAUGUAGUAUUAUAAAUAUAAAAAAACUGUCACUAACAGUAAAUUUCAAAUAUCUCAUCAUAAAAAAUGAUAGGUAAUCAAGGUGAUGGAUAUGUUAAUUAGCUUGAUUUAAUCAUUGCCACCUUCUAUACAAGCUGUAUAACAAAACAUCACAUUGUGCCCCGUACAUGUAUAAAAUUAUAAUUUGUCCAUUAAAAAUGAUAUUAAUAAUAAUUUUUAAAAAUCAUACAGCAAGUCAAAAAGCUGUCAAUUAAUAAAUAUGUUAAUAUUGAACUAAGGCUCAUUGUUAUAACUAUCAACGGUAUUAACGAACAAUGAUAAAGCAUGUAAAAUACUUUGUCCUUUGAGGUUACAAGGAUGAAAAAAGCAUGUGCCUAAGAAAGCAAAACAACACCAAGAAACUGAAGAUGCAAACGAUUUGUUUUAUGAGUGUCUGUGUAGACGUGUGUGUGUGUAUAUAUAUAUACUAAUAUACAUAUAAUAAUCAACAAAAACGUAACAUAGGGACGAUAUUACAAACAUACAAUUCCUUUUUAGUGUCUGAGCGCUAAAGAAAGGUAGAUCUUUAUGUUAACAUCUUGAUUGACAUAACUUUGAGGAAGAAUUUUGCCUAACUGCUUACAGGGUUUUGUGAUUUUGGUCCAUUUAUGUAGGAAAUUCCCUUCAGGACUUAUAAUGGCAGAGUUUACUCAGUGUUUCUAAAAAAUUAUUAGAAGUUAUGAGAAAUAAAGAAACUUGAUAAAUGAACACUAAGAAAUGAUAGAUGGGAGCUAAAAACAUAGACUACAGGACAACUAUGUUGCAAUAAUACAAAUUAGGGGUUUCACUCUUGCUGGAUAACUACCUUAAUUCUCUGUCUCACUCUGAUCCCCUAAUAAAGAAGUUUAUGAUGACAUGGAUUCUAAUAGGUUACUCAGUGACUUUGAAAGAAAUGUCUUAAUAAUGAUCAUAAUAAAAAGUGUCUCAAUUUAAUUGCUAGCUAUAAAAAUGAUGGAUUUUUGCAAUUACAUUUGUGCAUAUAUAUAUAUUCUUUCUUUUCUUUUCUUUUUUUGCAACAGAGUCUUGCUCUGUUGCCUAGGCUGGGUUGCAGUGGCGUGACCUUGGCUCACUGCAACCUCCACUUCCUGGGUUCAAGCUAUUCUCCUGCCUCAGCCUCCCGAGUAGCUGGGAUUACAGGCGUAUGCCACCACACCUGGCUAAUUUUUUGUAUUUUUAGUAGAGACGGGAUUUCACCACGUUGGCCAGGCUGGUCUCGAACUCCUAACCUCAACUGAUCCACCCCUCUCAGCCUCCCAAAGUGCUGGGAUUGCAGGCAUGAGGUACUGUGCCUGGCAAUACAUUCUUUUCAAAACUCUCAGAUCCUUUUUACAUAGCACAGCUGCUAUGAAAUAGAAAUUGAGAUGUGGCUGAAAAAAGCCAAACAGCUUGAUAUAUAAAAGUGCUCAAGUUUUUAUCAGUUUUCCUCUGAAGGCUGCAACAACCUUAAACCUAAAUCUUUUCAUGGAUAUUAUGUAUACUGCCUAACUGCGGCGUAGGCACAUCAUCCCUCUGCCCUCAGAGUGGGGGACAUUUUAGUGACUUCUUGAUUUUUCAUGCCAAAGGCGAUGGUAGGUUAUCCAAAAAAAUCUUAUUUGACCUUCCAAUGCAUAUUACAAUUGUAUUUGACUAUGAAAGAAAUGCUCUAAAAAUUCAGUCUUUGAAAUUAAAUAAUAAAGAUCUAAGGCAGGAGAAACUGGAAAGCCAUUCAACUUCCCGUGUUGACUCCUACUCAGGAAACUUUCUUUUCCCAAGAUAAUGCAGGGAAUCUGCAUAGCACAACUGGGGCAGUAUUUACUGGUCCAUUGCUCAGAGAGCCCCAUAAAUGUAAGGAAUUAUUCAUAUCCAGUUGCGCAUUUUAGCUGUUAAGUAUUUUUCCAGUUCUGCUGGGUUAGAGAGGUAUCGUGUUACAGUGGAAAGAAAAAGGCAUGGAUAGACUGACAGUUAUGGAAAGAAGACGGAGCAGGGGACAGUGAAGGGGAAAUGGAUUCGUUAUGACACACAAAUGUAAAAUUCCCUAGUCAAGAACAGUACAGCAUUUGUGCGUUUUUUUUUUUAAUACGUAAAGGUAUUGUUCAGUACUUUUCCAUUAAUUUUUCAAAGGUCUUGACCUCCUAAUGAAAAAUUUCUGACUAAAAGGGGUUUUCCUCACCACUCAGUUCCUUCUUCUGCUAGGUCCUACAGUGAAUCAAUAUCUCGUAUUUGGUCCUUCAGACAGUUGCCACGGAAAUGAGAGCUGCAAACACUUUCAGCUUUCUGGCUUCACUGUGGGAUCCAGCAUAGAACAUGAUUGAGCUGUCAGAGAACCUCCUGAAGGAAAGUUGUACCUGAUAAGUAAGAGUUUCCAGAAAAAUGGUGACACAUACAGGAAGAAAAAUAGAUUGUUUAACUCAGUCUGAAAAAUCCCUUUUGAUUCAUAAACUGUCUACAUGAUUGAAACAUACGAAACCAUCUCUUUCUCUAAGCAGAUUCUUCUCAAUUCACAUACAAGCACCUCAGGGGCAAAUAAAACUUCUCUGUGUAGGCAUGAGGAGGAAUCACUUUAGCAGAAGGAAAAUAAGGUGCUGUAGAAAUGAGAAAGUGCUGUAGAAAUGAGAACACAAAAUGCUAACCUGGAGGAGAGAGGGUGGCAGAGUGAGUGAAAGAGAGGGCAUCUGAUGCCGUUUAAAUCAUUUUUAAGGAAAACUAAACAUCCUGAUUGGAAAAAAAAAAAAAAAGGAAGUCACUGUGGAUGUCAAAGAACACACAGGCUUUCCACAACUGGAAUCACAGACAAUUUGGAGCUUGAUGGGCUCCACUGCAAUAGACUUGAAACUUCAUUUGUGUCAUUUGGUCCCAGCAAAUGGAACCUGGCUUUUCUGGGAAAGAAUUCCAGCUGCCAGUUUGAAUCCACUGAGUAGUUCUAUCCAGUGCCAAUUAUAAUCUUGAAAGAUGCAGUCCCCAAAUCCCCAAAAUCACAACUACAAAAGAUUAAAAUCCUGAAUGCUGAAUUCUGGGACAGGAUUAGUGUGUUUUCAUUGCAUGCUGGAUAGUUGUAUCAUGUUAGUUGUAUCAAGUUAGUCAAAACGAUUACCUUGCUGUCUUUAUUUGGAAAUUAAAUGUGGUUUAAGGAGAUGCAUAUGAAUGACAAAGGGUGGACUUGUGUACUGCCUACAAACCUGGUAAAGCAUUAUUUUGGAUGUGUCUGUAAGGGCUUUUUCAGAGGAGAUUAUUGUGUGAGUCUGAGUGGAUUAACCAGGUGUGGGGGAAUCUGCUAUCAAUGUUGAAGGACACCAUCCAAUCAGCUGAAGGCCAGGAGAGAGAAGAAACACAUAAGGCAAAUUGGUCUCUCUCUCAGAGCUGGGGUAGACCUUCUGCUGCCUUGGACACCAGAACUCCAGGUUCACCAGUCUUUGGACUCAGGACUUUGACCAGCAGUCUCCUAGGUGCUGAGGCUUCCAGCCAUGAACUAGGUUACAACCUCAGCUUUCCUGGUUCUGUGAACUUCAGACUUGGACUGAGCCAAGUCUCCAGCUUGCAGAUGGCCUGUUGUGGAACUUUUCAGCCUCCAUAAUUGUGUGAGCCCAUCCUACUGAUAAGGCUCCUUCCUCUAUCUAUACACAUAUCCUAUUGGUUCUGUCUCUCUGGAGAACCUUGACUAAAAUAGAUUUGAUAUUAAGGAAGCCAAAUGUCAUUCCUCCUUACUUUAUUACUUGCAGCAUAAUGGGAGAGAUCUGUGAAACUGUUCCCUCACAAAAGGCUAUGAUGGUCUAAGCAUAUGAGGCCUCUUAACAGUGAAAGAUAAAACUUUAAAAGCUAAUUACUAUUGGCAUUUUGAAAGCAGAAAAUCACUUAAUUGCAAUGGUUGAGCAAUAACCAGUCUUUCGAAUGGACUGCACAUACUUACAAAAUUUGUAGACCACAGUCACUCUUCAAGUACAAAUGCAGUGAGUGUUUCAAAAAUCAUAGAAGUGAAAAUGCAAACGAAAAAUACAGAAAUCUCCCCUGCCAAAUUAUUCAAUCAUAUAAGACUUCUGCCCUUUCACAUAUAGUGCCAAUUUCCUAUGCUACAUAUCUCAUCUUUGCUUCAUUUCCAAUACUGGAGGUAUAAGUUGUGUAAAGACUUCUGUAGAGUUCUAAUUUGUUUUAUGCAUUUUUUGCAAAUUUGACUCUAUGAAAGUGUGUUAUCGGAACGUUGACUUUGUGUGUAAGCACUGUGUGUGUGUAUGAAAAUAUCAAAACUUCCUUAAUAAAGAUGUCCUUUCUGUACAUCUGAAUUUGUGAAAGAUAAAAUAUCUCAAGAUGUCAGCUACUUGGGCAACUGCAUAUGUGGUGGUGACUCACUGUGGUUUUUGAUGGGUCUCAUUGAAACAUGCAGGUUGUCCAUCAUAGUAUUUCAGAUGACUGCAGUUAUAAAGCUGGGUGCACGCAGUUACCAAUCAUAGUGAUAUGUGUUUAUACAUUUCACUUUUCGACUUAUUUAUUAAUGAAUAUGGUUUGUCUGCUCAUAACUGUUAUAUAUAUGUGGCUAUCAUUAGAAUACUUGAGUGCUUAUGCUUGCGAAAAUGUGUAUGUUAUUAUUGCCUAUUUUAUGGUGUAAAGUGGCCAAUGAUGUGUUCUGUCAUGUUUUUAUAUGUUUCUCAAAUAAAUUCCCUUUAAAAUGUAAA